CAGCAGCCGCGGUAAUACGGAGGGUGCAAGCGUUACUCGGAAUCACUGGGCGUAAAGCGCGCGCAGGCGGCCUUUUAAGUUGGAUGUGAAAGCCUAUGGCUCAACCAUAGAACUGCAUCCAAAACUAUCAGGCUAGAGUGUGGGAGAGGAAGAUGGAAUUAGUUGUGUAGGGGUAAAAUCCGUAGAGAUAACUAGGAAUACCAAAAGCGAAGGCAAUCUUCUGGAACAUUACUGACGCUGAGGCGCGAAAGCGUGGGGAGCAAACAGGAUUAGAUACCCUGGUAGUCCACGCCCUAAACGAUGAAUGUUAGUCGUCGGGUAGCUAGUCUAUUCGGUGAUGCAGCUAACGCAUUAAACAUUCCGCCUGGGGAGUACGGUCGCAAGAUUAAAACUCAAAGGAAUAGACGGGGACCCGCACAAGUGGUGGAGCAUGUGGUUUAAUUCGAAGAUACGCGAAGAACCUUACCUAGCCUUGACAUAUUUAAGAACACUUUAGAGAUAGAGUGGUGCCUUCGGGAGCUUUUAUACAGGUGCUGCACGGCUGUCGUCAGCUCGUGUCGUGAGAUGUUGGGUUAAGUCCCGCAACGAGCGCAACCCUCGUCACUAGUUACUAACGGUUCGGCCGAGGACUCUAGUGAGACUGCCUUCGUAAGGAGGAGGAAGGUGAGGACGACGUCAAGUCAUCAUGGCCCUUACGGCUAGGGCAACACACGUGCUACAAUGGCCAGGACAAUGAGACGCGAUACCGCGAGGUGGAGCAAAUCUAUAAACCUGGUCUCAGUUCGGAUUGUAGUCUGCAACUCGACUACAUGAAGCUGGAAUCACUAGUAAUCGUAGAUCAGCUAUGCUACGGUGAAUACGUUCCCGGGUCUUGUACUCACCGCCCGUCACACCAUGGGAGUUGAUUUCACCCGAAGCGGGGAAGCUAAACUGGCUACCCUCCACGGUGGAAUCAGCGACUGGGGUGAAGUCGUAACAAGGUAACCGUA
rnacentral:rRNA from 1 species